ACUCGUGCAAGAGAAAAGAAACACUCACCUGGGCAGGAAAACGAAGUGUAAGAUGAUUUCAUUCGUUUGUUUGGAAGACAUGCUGGUUCUCUGCUUCGCUUUCCGUUUCUUCUUCAUCUUCUCUUUCUUCUUCUUCUUCCUUUUCUUUCUUCAUUUCAUCUUUGCUGGAACAAGCACAAG
rnacentral:ribozyme from 11 species